rnacentral:tRNA from 3 species
GGGGCCUUCGUCUAGUGGUUAGGACAUCGGGUUUUCAUCCCGGCAACAGGAGUUCGAUUCUCCUAGGCCCUACCA